ACGGGAGGCAGCAGUGGGGAAUAUUGGACAAUGGGGGAAACCCUGAUCCAGCGACGCCGCGUGAGUGAAGAAGUAUUUCGGUAUGUAAAGCUCUAUCAGCAGGGAAGAAAAUGACGGUACCUGACUAAGAAGCCCCGGCUAACUACGUGCCAGCAGCCGCGGUAAUACGUAGGGGGCAAGCGUUAUCCGGAUUUACUGGGUGUAAAGGGAGCGUAGACGGCAUGACAAGUCUGAAGUGAAAUCCCCGGGCUCAACCCGGGAACUGCUUUGGAAACUGCCAAGCUAGAGUGCAGGAGGGGCAAGCGGAAUUCCUAGUGUAGCGGUGAAAUGCGUAGAUAUUAGGAGGAACACCGGUGGCGAAGGCGGCUUGCUGGACUGUAACUGACGUUGAGGCUCGAAAGCGUGGGGAGCAAACAGGAUUAGAUACCCUGGUA
rnacentral:rRNA from 1 species